rnacentral:misc_RNA from 1 species
CAGCCGAAAGCCGAAAGCAAAAUGCUUCUCUAUACCAUUUCGAGAUUCAAACACCCCCGAAAAAAAUAGGCAGCGGUUUUUUACACGCACGGCAGGGCUCCAUUUCCUGUGGCUCAUCCACACCUGACAGGCUGACACUGCUGAAAAGCAGGGUCCCAAAACAACGCUAGAGAGGCCUAGCGAUUAGCGUGGACAUUAACGAUGGCGGUUAGCGGUCACGGCGGUCGGUCAGUGCUCCAGCCACGUCCCGAGUCGGCUCGGCGGCGCCUAGACCUUGUAGAUGAUGAGGAAGCAGGGGAGCACGGCGCGGCUGUCGAGGACCACCAGCUCGCCGUCGCCCAUGUCCACGGAGUCGUACGCGGCCGCGGCGGAGCUUUGGCCUUGGCCGUGGCGCGGGUAGUUGGCGGGGCAGACGCGGCCGGCGAUGACGCGGCACACCAGCAUCGCCCGUCGCCCCACCGCGGCGGCGGCGGCGGCGGCGCUGGCGUGCGCGGCGCCGCUGCAGGCAAACGUGCGCACGGCCGAGGCCGACG